GUGGCGAACGGGUGAGUAACACGUGAGCAAUCUGCCCCUGACUCUGGGAUAAGCGCUGGAAACGGCGUCUAAUACCGGAUACGAGCUGCGAAGGCAUCUUCAGCAGCUGGAAAGAAUUUCGGUCAGGGAUGAGCUCGCGGCCUAUCAGCUUGUUGGUGAGGUAACGGCUCACCAAGGCGUCGACGGGUAGCCGGCCUGAGAGGGUGACCGGCCACACUGGGACUGAGACACGGCCCAGACUCCUACGGGAGGCAGCAGUGGGGAAUAUUGCACAAUGGGCGAAAGCCUGAUGCAGCAACGCCGCGUGAGGGACGAGGGCCUUCGGGUUGUAAACCUCUUUUAGCAGGAAAGAAGCGAAAGUGACGGUACCUGCAGAAAAAGCGCCGGCUAACUACGUGCCAGCAGCCGCGGUAAUACGUAGGGCGCAAGCGUUAUCCGGAAUUAUUGGGCGUAAAGAGCUCGUAGGCGGUCUGUCGCGUCUGCUGUGAAAACCCGAGGCUCAACCUCGGGCCUGCAGUGGGUACGGGCAGACUAGAGUGCGGUAGGGGAGAUUGGAAUUCCUGGUGUAGCGGUGGGAAUGCGCAGAUAUCAGGAGGGAACACCGAUGGGCGAAGGGCAAGAUCUCUGGGCCGUAAACUGAACGCUGAGGAGCGGAAAGGGGUGGGGAGCAAACAAGGCUUAGAUACCCUGGUAGUCCACCCCGUAAAACGUUGCGAAACUAGUUUGUGGGUGUCCAUUCCACGGAUUCCCGUGACGCAGCUAACGCAUUAAGUUUCCCGCCUGGGGAGUACGGCCGCAAGGCUAAAAACUCAAAGGAAUUGACGGGGACCCGCACAAGCGGCGGAGCAUGCGGAUUAAUUUGAUGCAACGCGAAGAACCUUACCAAGGCUUGACAUAUACGAGAACGGGCCAGAAAUGGUCAACUCUUUGGACACUCGUAAACAGGUGGUGCAUGGUUGUCGUCAGCUCGUGUCGUGAGAUGUUGGGUUAAGUCCCGCAACGAGCGCAACCCUCGUUCUAUGUUGCCAGCACGUAAUGGUGGGAACUCAUGGGAUACUGCCGGGGUCAACUCGGAGGAAGGUGGGGAUGACGUCAAAUCAUCAUGCCCCUUAUGUCUUGGGCUUCACGCAUGCUACAAUGGCCGGUACAAAGGGCUGCAAUACCGCGAGGUGGAGCGAAUCCCAAAAAGCCGGUCCCAGUUCGGAUUGAGGUCUGCAACUCGACCUCAUGAAGUCGGAGUCGCUAGUAAUCGCAGAUCAGCAACGCUGCGGUGAAUACGUUCCCGGGUCUUGUACACACCCCCCGUCAAAUGUAGAAAGUCUGUUAUAUAUUGAGAUCGGUUCUCAAUAA
rnacentral:rRNA from 1 species